AGGAAAAAUUCUACUGUAAUUAUAACCUUAUUUUAAUAAUGGAAAAGAAAGUCAAAGCAGAGACUUUGAUCAUGUUCAUGAACAUGUACUUGAACACAAGUAUUGUAACAAUGAAACACUGUAAUGAUUUACACUGAAUCACCAUUGCACUGUUGAUAUAGUGUAGAGAAACUGUUUUAGAAAUUAUAACAUCCUACAAAAAUGUGUAUUAUUUUAUCAUGUUGUCAUUAGAUUUUAGCUUUUUAAAUAUUUUGAACAAAGAAAGCAUUGAUCCACCCAUUUCCUUGUGUCCGUUUAGCAGAUUUAUGAAAGAGUGUAGUGCUUAGACUCACAAAUCAUAAUGAGAAAACUUACUGAAUAUUUUUCAGCCUUUUCCUUAGGAUCAGAAAAGACGAAAAGCAUAUAAUACUAUGGUAGUUUCAUUGUGGUUUUUUUUUUCCUUUUUAAAAAUAAAAAGUUUUACAAUUCUGUGAAACGUUCAAAAGCCAGCUUAGAAUUUUUCUCGUGAGAAAAUAUUGUACAUGAUUCACAUGAUUUCUUAGAUUUUUCAAUAAAAUAUGUAAAACUUCCUUUUGGGAGACAAUUCUUCAUAGAUCUCUCACACUUCCACAUGUUUGGCAAGAAAAGGCACUGUCUACUUUUGUUCUGAAGUCUCUUCCAAAAGACUCUUAUACAAUGAACCAUUGUGGAAGACAGAGGUAGUAUAUUUCUUUGGAACAAAGGGCAAACAUGCUUGCUUCCCUUUUUUAAAUUUUCAGGCUCUCUAAAAUUGAGGUUCUUUUAUUAUAAUAUAGCCUUCCUACACGUGCAGAUGUCACCUGGUUCUCUUCAUGUUACCCUGUGUGAAUUGGGGCUCAGAGAACCAGUGCAAGGAAAUGCAGAUUCUCUCU
rnacentral:lncRNA from 1 species